UACAGAGGCCUCAAGCGUUAGGCGGAAUCACUGGGCUUAAAGCGUGUGUAGGCGGAUGUCUAAGUGCCUUGUGAAAUCCCACGGCUCAACCGUGGAACUGCUUGGCAUACUGGACGUCUUGAGCCAUCCAGGGGUCGCUGGAACAAACGGUGGAGCGGUGAAAUGCGUAGAUAUCGGGAGGAACACCAGUGGCGAAGGCGAGUCCCUGGACAAUUCCUGACGCUGAGGCACGAAAGCUAGGGGAGCAAACAGG
rnacentral:rRNA from 1 species